AAAGAAACCAACCGGGAUUGCCUCAGUAACGGCGAGUGAAGCGGCAAGAGCUCAAAUUUGAAAGCUGGCUCCUUCGGGGUCCGCAUUGUAAUUUGCAGAGGAUGCUUCGGGCGCGGCCCCCGUCUAAGUGCCCUGGAACGGGCCGUCGGAGAGGGUGAGAAUCCCGUCUGGGACGGGGUGUCCGUGUCCGUGUGAAGCUCCUUCAACGAGUCGAGUUGUUUGGGAAUGCAGCUCUAAUUGGGUGGUAAAUUUCAUCUAAAGCUAAAUAUUGGCCGGAGACCGAUAGCGCACAAGUAGAGUGAUCGAAAGAUGAAAAGCACUUUGAAAAGAGAGUUAAACAGCACGUGAAAUUGUUGAAAGGGAAGCGCUUGCGACCAGACUCGCUCGCGGGGUUCAGCGGGCCUUCGGGCCCGUGUACUUCCCCGUGGGCGGGCCAGCGUCGGUUUGGGCGGCCGGUCAAAGGCCUCCGGAAUGUAGCACCCUUCGGGGUGCCUUAUAGCCGGGGGUGCAAUGCGGCCUGCCUGGACCGAGGAACGCGCUUCGGCACGGACGCUGGCAUAAUGGUCGUAAGCGAC
rnacentral:rRNA from 1 species